UGCCUUACUUUAUAAACGUGAAGUGCAAGUAAGAGAUCAGCGUCGCAGCGUAAAAACAAUGGAAAGAGAAUCGCCCAAAAAGCUGGAGGACGCGUUGGAAGAAAUGGGAAUGCAGGGUGUGCCGCCGUUCCUGCAGGAAGCUGGAGUGACUUUGUCACUAUUAGAAAGUGUGACAGAGGAGAAGCUAAAGGAAGCAGUUCCCCAGUUGGGACUGCGUAUGCUGUUCAAGCGGAAGCUUACAAUUUGGAGAGAAAAAAAAGACUUUUAUUUUAUAGAACGUGAAAAGUACAAGAAUCCUGGAGGAAAGCUGUACUCGAAGUACAAAAACAAGCGACAUCAACUUAACAAUGAGAAUUCAUCCGAGACAAGAAGGGAAAGGAACGCAAGAGUAGGCAGUAGCAGAACAGACAACGAAAGUUAACAUCUUGGUACAGAAGUUGAUGAAGGAGUUGCCAAAUCUUUGAAAGCAAUUUUAAAGAGAGACUGUUCAGAUUGGAAAGACGUUUGCGAGAAGUGGCAACAAACUUUUCAUAUUCGUCAAAAGGACCUGAACCAAUUAAGUGCUGAUGAGUUUGUUAAAGCUUGGCCAAGACUUGGCCAUGCUCAAGCACCCGAAUUAAUGCCCAAGAUUUUUUGAUAACAAUUUUUCUCAAUGCCGUGCUGCCACCGUCAGCGCGUUUUGAAAAUGAAAAAGGAAAGUAGCAUAAGAAGUUGACCAUAGCAGACGCGCAGGUUUCAAUGGUGAUGCGUUUGGCUUGUCUUAACGACUUCAUAUAUGAGAUAGAAACCAAAUUCGAUAAGAAAUCGUCAAAUUUGUCAUCAAUAUUAAUCUAUUUGAGAAAUUAAAACUAAAAUGUUUGUGUGCUUUAGAUGUCAAAAGUCGCUUCCAAACCCAAAGCUAUUAGUUUCGCAUCUUAAAAUAAGCCAUUUAUUAUCUAGAAAAUCUUUAAGACUCAUUUGUAAACAACAGAACUGUGAACAAGUCUUUUCUAAUUUUUCACACUUUCGCCAGCACUUAGACAAAAUAAAAAAUAAACAAAAUAAACAAGCCAAUACCAGAGUAUGGAGAAUUGCCAUUUUCAAUUAGAGAUCACUGUUCUAAGAUUUCUUCGUACUCAAAGUUUGAUUUUGAAAAAGCUUAGCUACGCAAAAAACACGUUUUUAACGAAGUAGUAUCUUUGUCAAUGUUAAAUUAUGAAACUGAAUUAAUAACAAAAGAAAAUGAUUUGAAAGAAUCUGGCAAUACACAGUCAAAGCCCAAUUUUAGUUUAAAAGCAUUAAAAAACAAAGCUGUUCAUAUUUCCUUGCUACUUCACGAACAUAAGUAUAUGCCAAGAAGCCAUGUAAUCUCAAUACAAAAUAUAAUUAGUUUAUUAAGGUAUGAAAUAGCUUCGCUGGGCACCCACACAUUUUCAAUUUGCGGUGUGUAUAUUAAUUUUCCAUUAAUGCAACAGUACUUGUUGUCCAAAUUGCAGUAUAUUUUUAAUAUGGCCUUUAUUUCAACAGCAAAUCUAAAGCACUGUGGAAUCGAAGUUUCAUUUUAUUAUUUAGUUGAACAAAUAAAAAUUUUAGAAAAUGGAAUCAUGCUAAAAGUCGACAAUGAAACUGGAAAAGUUUGCUUUGUUUUGUCAUUAAUAGUAGGCGAUAAUUUGGCUGUAAAUAGCAUUCUCGGAUUUGUUCAAUCUUUUAACUCAAAACGCUAUUGUCGGGUAUGUAAGCGAACUAAGUCUGAAAUGCAGCUAGACUGCACGGAAAACAAGAAAAGUCUAAGAAACGAAUAUACAAAUGCAAAGGAUAUAAAUGAUAAUGAUUUUCAAGAAACUGGCAUUAAAAUGGAUUCCGUUUUUAAUAACUUAAAAACUUUUAGAGUCUCGAACAAUUUCGGCUUUGAUUUAAUGCACGAUGUCCUUGAAGGAGUAUGUGUUUAUGAUA